AGCCGUGCUCGGCAGCAGCAGCUGGCUGAAGCGCCCCGCCGCCAUCUUUGCUACUGGCAGUGCCGUAAGGGAGCCGGAGCGGCUCGUGCCCGCUGCCAUCUUAGCCCGGGCGGAGGGAGAGCUGCCCGGCCUGGGCACGGCUGUGCUGCGGCGGUUGACUAUCAAGACAAGAUUUGGAUAUCAUGUGUUGGAUUGCAAAAUCUUUUGUCCGAGGGCUGAGCUUCAGUGUUAAAUACUAUCCUAAGGAUAACCAUUGUCAAGCACUAUGUCUUUAUAGUAAAAUAAAACCGAACAAAUGCCACAUCAUGGGCUGGUCGAGAAGUCUAUGCAACAGCACCAUGCCACCUGGAAGCAUUCUGUCAUGGAGGUUAUUUUCCUGCAAGCAGGAAGGGACAAAAAUCCACUGUAAUAGGGAAAAAAUUACAUCCGUAACAACAUCAAAGCUUUUGUACAAGGAUCUUUUGAAAUCAGAGCAGGAAAAUUGGAAUAAAAUUUCAAGAAGAUAUAAAGCUAUGACAGAAAGAAUUAAGGAAAAAAUAGAAGAACUGCACAACAAGUAUACGCUCAAUUUGGAAAGCCCAAAGAUAAGAUUUGGAGGAAACGUGUACUUUGAGGAGAACGGUUACAUAUUUUGUUCAAAAGCAGAUGAUGGAAACAUUCACAUUUUAUUCAGUGCUGAAGAUAUGGGCUUUUCUGGCACCUUUAUUACACGGAUCCGAAUUUCACCAGGUCAGAGGUACCUGGCUACCAGCUUAAAAAGUGAAAAUUCUGAAGAGGCAACCUGCGUUAUUAUGAAACUUGGUGAUGUUCCUGUUGUGGAAGAAGUAAUUCCAAACGUGUUUAGUUUUGAAUGGGCUACAGACGAUGUUCUGUAUUACACAAGUCAGAAGAACCUUAAAUGCCAGAAUGUGUUCAUGACCACUUUCACUAAUGAGAAAUAUACUAAGUUAGUUUAUACAGAACAAGAUGCAAGAUUUUUUGUGGACAUAUACUGCACAAAAGAUAGACGUUUCCUCACUAUCAAUAGCAACAGCAAGACAACCUCAGAAGUUUGGCUGAUUGACUGUAGACAUCCUUUUAAGUUACCUGUUCUUGUACAAGCGCGAACAGAAGGGGUCAUUUAUCACGUUGAACACAGAAACAAUGAAUUAUACAUUCUUACUUCAUAUGGAGAACCUGCAGAAUAUAAGUUGAUGAAGGCUUCGGUAGCUUCCACUGGCAUGGAGAAUUGGCAGUUAGUUUAUGCACUGGAAGAAAAAACCAAGCUAAUAGACUUGGAGAUGUUCAGUGAUCACUGUAUUAUGUUCCUGCAGAAUGCUGGUUAUCUUUACUUAAAUGUGAUUGCUUUUGUUUCUCAUUCAGUUCAAUUGAUACAGCUACCCACAUGGGCCUGUGCAUUUGAAUUGGAAUCUCAUCCUGAACAUGCCAGCAGCACUUGUUAUUUUCAGCUCACCUCCCCAGUACACCCCCCUAGGCGUUUUGCAUAUUCAUUUAAAGAAAAUAAUCUCAUUGAACAAGCUGCAGAAGAGGUACCAAUUAUUACGAAUUGUCACACUACACGUUUACUAGCUAAAAGCAAGGAUGAAACUUCGGUGCCAAUUACAGUUUUUCAUAAUACGAAUUCUAAAGAGCUACACAGGAAACCACUUCUAGUUCAUGUAUAUGGAGCUUAUGGCAUAGAUUUGAACGUGAGCUUUAAAGAAGAGAAUCUGAUGUUAAUUGAAGAGGGCUGGAUAUUAGCAUAUUGCCACGUUAGGGGUGGAGGAGAGCUAGGGCUUCAGUGGCACAAAGAUGGAUGUCAGCAUAACAAACUCAAAGGUCUCCAGGACCUUAAGGCUUGCAUCACACUGCUGCAUGAACUAGGAUUUUCUCAGCCAAAAUAUACAGCACUAACAGCUGCCAGUGCUGGAGGAGUUCUUGCAGGAGCCAUUUGCAACAGGGAUCCAGAACUUUUCAGAGCCAUGGUUUUACAGGCACCUUUUGUAGAUGUUCUAAAUACAAUGAUGAAAACUCAUCUCCCACUAUCAAUUGAAGAACAGGAAGAAUGGGGAAAUCCAUUAGCAGAUGAAAAAUCUAUGAAGUACAUCAAAAGCUACUGUCCUUACCACAAUAUUAAGCCACAGUGUUAUCCUUCAGUUUUUAUCACAGCAUAUGAAAAUGACCAACGAGUACCACUAACAGGAAUUCUACGAUAUGUUCAAAAACUUAGGAAGGCUGCACUAGAUCAUGCCAGCAGAACAAGAAAGAAAGCUUCAUUGUUACAGGAAACCGGAUCCCUAAUAUCAUCUUAGACAUCCAGGCAAGUGGCAGUCAUUGUGACUCAUCUUGGGAGGAUUCAUUGAAUGAGGUUGCAAGACACCUUGCUUUUCUGAAAAAAGAACUUGAAGUGUGACAUCUCCAGCAUUGAAUCAAGUCCUGUAAAUAGCUGAUAAACACAUCAACCACCUGAAGAAGUUCACGUCAGAUUUUCAUUUAUAUGAAAAACUGAGCAUCUACUCCAGAUGUAUCGCUGCAUUAUGGGCAUAAACACACCAGAUACUCAGGGACAAAAUUGGGUUUGGCAUCAGUUUAUAAAGAAGCCAACUAAAGUAUCUUCCCUACUAAAUGGUAUAGAAGGAGCUGCCUUCAUGUGCAGUUCUGUUCAUAAGCAAGCAGUACAGCACUGUAGUGGAGCUGUAGUGCAAGACAGUUUGUGCUGAAAGUCUAACAUAUGCCUAAUGUACGAAGACAUGCAUGUUUUAUGAGCAGCCUUCCCAAAGACCUCUCAUCCAAGAGUAAAUUUUACACAAGGCAGUAAAUCCCCCACAAAGCUUUAUUUAAUUAAAAAAAUCUCACUAAAUUA